GGGGGCGUACAUGGUUUCGACGGGGAUCAUGGGUGCCGGAUAAGCGAGCCGAAGCCCCGAGAUUCGUAAAAAUCGGGAAAUCUUUAAAUAUAACUGACCACAACAGCUAUAUGCCCGUAGCGGCCUAACGGCCCUACCGUCCGCCUUAAGCUUCCCACGGCGUAAGAUACGGGCGUCAUCAAUGUGGGGAACCAGCCGCAGAGUGCCUCGACUGCGGUGGGAUCAAGGGACUGCCGAAGCCGUAAGCCCGUCGGUGGGCGUACGGCGACGAAAGACUUAGUGCGCCGGCUACGCUCGUAGAAAGUCUUGCAAACAGGUUUUCGGACAGGAGUUCGACUCUCCUCGCCUCCACCA
rnacentral:tmRNA from 1 species